GGUACUGCCGCAGGGAUUAAAAGGGAAUGCAGUGUAAGUCUGCAACAGUUCCCGCUGCUGUGAGUUUCGUUCCGAAUAUUUUUCGGAUUGGUCGCCGCGACAUUCUUUCGCCACUGACUUCUCGUCGGGAAGGCGUCGCGCCGGAAACGAGUCAGAAGACCUGCCUUUGCUUG
rnacentral:ncRNA from 1 species